rnacentral:sRNA from 1 species
UUCCUGCCAUGAUGAUAAUGGACCGAACCUCUGAACCUGUAAGUCAGCCCCAAUUAAAUGUUGUCCUUUCUUAGAGUGGCCUUGGCCAUGGUAUCUGGUCACAACAGUAAAACCCUAGUUAAGGUAGUACACAAAUAGAGGUAACCUGCCAGCCCAUGCUCUCUCCAACAAAGGUGAGCUCUAGAAGUCUCCAUCCAUAGCUAAAUGAUCCUCAACCAAGUCAGGAACCUAGACUUCAUUGUCUGGGAUCGUUAACAGGUCGUGGGGAGCUGGGAGGUGACAUGCCUCAGGCUGGGGCAGCCUUAUGUGUUCUGUGAUUGUGCCGCUCUCAGGGCAGAGAGGAUCAUGAAACCCCAGAGGCUUGGAGGGAGACAGACAGAGGGCAUUUGCCUCGGAUCUCGAUCCUAGUCCAUUUUCUGUCAUUAUCACACACACACUUGCACGUGCACAUGUACCAAAAUAAAAUCCAUCUUCGUGGGUGAGUAUUUAGCUCACAGACUGGGAAACUAGAAGGCUAAGAUCAGAUGGCCCCAUCAGUUCAGCCUACGGUGAUGGCCCCCUUGUCUGAGUCACCCUGUGAUGAAGGAGGGAGGGAGACAUCACAGGAUGAGACCAGAUUAUUCACAUGACCCUCCUCCCAAACCCUCCCUUUCAUUUUCUAAUUUUAGAGACGGGAUCAUGUGUAACUCAGGCUAGCUUCAAACUCACGAUGUAACCUUGAAUUCGGAUCCCCAUCUUUACCAGAGUAGUGCUGGGAUUACAGGCAUUCACUGCCCUAUCGGGCUUAUGAACUCCAAGCUCGCUAGGCAAGCAAGCUACCAACUGAGCCACCUCCCCAGCCCUAGUUCAUAAACAUCAGAGUUGGCAACCACUCAAAAACAGACACAACUAAUUUAUUAAGUCUAAGGCAGAGAAAUCCAGGAACUAGGCUUGCUCUUUGAAAGCAAUUCAUUCUCUCAGGAACCAACAAGAAGGGCACGGAGAUGGCUCAGGGGUUAAGCAGAUCGCUUGGGUCCAGUUCUCUGCAUCCAUUUAGUGGCUCACAGACCAUCUCUGAUCCAGUUCCGGGGACCUAAUGCCCUUUCCAUAAAUAUUCCCCAGCUCUGACCACACUGGAGACCAGGCCUCCAGCACACGAGCUUUUAGGAGACAGCCCACAGCUGAUCCUAAAGCACUGCCCAUUCACUCAACAAAUGUAUUGAAUCUCUUCCCAGGUCACAAAAGGAGGGAUUUCCUGCUCCCAAGAGACCUACAAUAUAGGAGGAAUUGGUACUAAAGAGGGAAUAGAAGUCACGGUUGCAAGACAGGCAAGGUGGCAGUGACAGCUAUAAUACCAGCAGGUGGGCGCUAAGGCAGGAGGAUCAUCACGUGCUUAAGGCCAUCAAGACCCUGUCUCACAACUACGAAUCAGUACUACCCUGUCGGGAAGGAAGAACUGCCCUACUGUUUUCAAAACAGAGUGAAGAGACAGAGAUGGUUGAAAAGGCCUCUCUUUCUUUGUUUCUUUGAUUCUUUGUUUCUUUCUUUCUUUGUUCCUUUGUUUCUUUGAUCCUUUGACUCUUUCUUUCUUUCUUUCUUUCUUUCUUUCUUUCUUUCUUUCUUUCUUUCUUUCUUUCUUUCUGUAGUCUAUUUAUCUUACUCAUUACACUGGGAUGAAUUGAGCCAGACAUAGCAUUAGGGCGAUUGCCACCACAGACUUGUUUUCCAGGAGGGAAGGGAUUUUUCCUCUGGGGCGUGUGUUCUGAAGACUCAAGAGCAUGGGCGUGAGAAGUCCUGGGGCAGAGAUUAUGGUCAAGUCCCUGAGGUGGCAGGAGGCGCUACAGUCAUGAACCAGCCAGAAAGGCGCCUGGGCCUUUGUACAAGGAGAAGGGAGGGAGGGAGGGAAAGGGUUAGGCAACAAGCAGAUCUCCAUGAGGUUUGGUGAGAAACUUGGAAAGAUUCGGGUCCGUUGAGACAUCACUGAGAGGUUCUGUGUAGAGACACAGCAUUUUAAAAUCACUCUGAACAAUGCGUGCUAGCUCUAAUCUGUAAUCCUCAGGAAGAUUGCUGUGGGUCUGAGGGCAGCCUGGGCUAUGGAGUGAAUUCCAGACCAGAGCAGGCAACAAAAGUGUGGGGAUAAGGGGCUGCUUCUGACUUUCCGCAGCAGCUGACCGUGCUCUGUCUGCCUCGUGCUCUAGCAGAGGCGUGGUUUUGCCAGCUGCAGGAAGUUUCUGCGAUUGUGCGAUGUCUGGAACUCUGAGAACUUCUUAGAGGGGCCUUUGAACUUGUGGAAGAUUCUGACUCAUCCUGUCCAACCUCAGUCGUGCUUCCUCUUUCUCUUGCCCACUACAGCAGGAACA